rnacentral:rRNA from 1 species
ACGAACGCUGGCGGCGUGCUUCACACAUGCAAGUCGAACGGAAAGGCCCUGCUUUUGUGGGGUGCUCGAGUGGCGAACGGGUGAGUAACACGUGAGUAACCUGCCCUUGACUUUGGGAUAACUUCAGGAAACUGGGGCUAAUACCGGAUAGGAGCUCCUGCUGCAUGGUGGGGGUUGGAAAGUUUCGGCGGUUGGGGAUGGACUCGCGGCUUAUCAGCUUGUUGGUGGGGUAGUGGCUUACCAAGGCUUUGACGGGUAGCCGGCCUGAGAGGGUGACCGGCCACAUUGGGACUGAGAUACGGCCCAGACUCCUACGGGAGGCAGCAGUGGGGAAUAUUGCACAAUGGGCGGAAGCCUGAUGCAGCAACGCCGCGUGCGGGAUGACGGCCUUCGGGUUGUAAACCGCUUUCGCCUGUGACGAAGCGUGAGUGAUGGUAAUGGGUAAAGAAGCACCGGCUAACUACGUG